rnacentral:rRNA from 1 species
AAUAACAAGGAUUCCCCUAGUAACUGCGAGUGAAGCGGGAAAAGCUCAAAUUUAAAAUCCCUCGGGAAUUGUAAUCUAGAGAAGUGUUUUCGGUCGUUGCCUCGGACAAGUCCUUUGGAACAAGGCGUCAUAGAGGGUGAGAAUCCCGUCCUUGCCGAGCUACCAACGUCUAUGUGAUACACUCUCGAAGAGUCGAGUUGUUUGGGAAUGCAGCUCAAAACGGGUGGUAAACUCCAUCUAAAGCUAAAUAUUGGCGAGAGACCGAUAGCGAACAAGUACCGUGAGGGAAAGAUGAAAAGCACUUUGGACAGAGAGUUAAACAGUACGUGAAAUUGUUGAAAGGGAAACGCUUGAAGUCAGUCGCGUUGCAGGGACUCAGCCGCAAGGUGCAUUUCUCGGUAACGGGUCAACAUCAGUUUCGAGCGCGGGAAAAGGGCUUGGGGAAUGUGGCAGCCUCGGCUGUGUUAUAGCCCCCUGUCGUACACCGCGCCCGGGACUGAGGACCGCUAAUAGGAUGUUGACGUAAUGGCUUUAAGCGA